rnacentral:rRNA from 1 species
AUUGAACGCUGGCGGCAGGCUUAACACAUGCAAGUCGAGCGGGGUGAUGGUGCUUGCACUAUCACUUAGCGGCGGACGGGUGAGUAAUGCUUAGGAAUCUGCCUAUUAGUGGGGGACAACAUCUCGAAAGGGAUGCUAAUACCGCAUACGUCCUACGGGAGAAAGCAGGGGAUCACUUGUGACCUUGCGCUAAUAGAUGAGCCUAAGUCGGAUUAGCUAGUUGGUGGGGUAAAGGCCUACCAAGGCGACGAUCUGUAGCGGGUCUGAGAGGAUGAUCAGCCACACGGGGACUGAGACACGGCCCAGACUCCUACGGGAGGCAGCAGUGGGGAAUAUUGGACAAUGGGGGGAACCCUGAUCCAGCCAUGCCGCGUGUGUGAAGAAGGCCUUAUGGUUGUAAAGCACUUUAAGCGAGGAGGAGGCUCUUUUGGUUAAUACCCAGAAUGAGUGGACGUUACUCGCAGAAUAAGCACCGGCUAACUCUGUGCCAGCCGCCGCAGUAA